rnacentral:rRNA from 1 species
CUACGGGCUGCUCCAGUGGGGAAUAUUGCACAAUGGGCGCAAGCCUGAUGCAGCCAUGCCGCGUGUAUGAAGAAGGCCUUCGGGUUGUAAAGUACUUUCAGCGGGGAGGAAGGGAGUAAAGUUAAUACCUUUGCUCAUUGACGUUACCCGCAGAAGAAGCACCGGCUAACUCCGUGCCAGCAGCCGCGGUAAUACGGAGGGUGCAAGCGUUAAUCGGAAUUACUGGGCGUAAAGCGCACGCAGGCGGGUUGUUAAGUCAGAUGUGAAAUCCCCGGGCUCAACCUGGGAACUGCAUCUGAUACUGGCAAGCUUGAGUCUCGUAGAGGGGGGUAGAAUUCCAGGUGUAGCGGUGAAAUGCGUAGAGAUCUGGAGGAAUAUCGGUGGCGAAGGCGGCCCCCUGGACGAAGACUGACGCUCAGGUGCGAAAGCGUGGGGAGCAAACAGGAUUAGAUACCCGCGUAGUC